rnacentral:rRNA from 1 species
GCGAAGCCUGAUCCAGCAAUGCCGCGUGUGUGAAGAAGGCCUUCGGGUUGUAAAGCACUUUUGUCCGGAAAGAAAUCCUUGGCUCUAAUACAGUCGGGGGAUGACGGUACCGGAAGAAUAAGCACCGGCUAACUACGUGCCAGCAGCCGCGGUAAUACGUAGGGUGCGAGCGUUAAUCGGAAUUACUGGGCGUAAAGCGUGCGCAGGCGGUUUGCUAAGACCGAUGUGAAAUCCCCGGGCUCAACCUGGGAACUGCAUUGGUGACUGGCAGGCUAGAGUAUGGCAGAGGGGGGUAGAAUUCCACGUGUAGCAGUGAAAUGCGUAGAGAUGUGGAGGAAUACCGAUGGCGAAGGCAGCCCCCUGGGCCAAUACUGACGCUCAUGCACGAAAGCGUGGGGAGCAAACAGGAUUAGAUACCCUGGUAGUCCACGCCCUAAACGAUGUCAACUAGUUGUUGGGGAUUCAUUUCCUUAGUAACGUAGCUAACGCGUGAAGUUGACCGCCUGGGGAGUACGGUCGCAAGAUUAAAACUCAAAGGAAUUGACGGGGACCCGCACAAGCGGUGGAUGAUGUGGAUUAAUUCGAUGCAACGCGAAAAACCUUACCUACCCUUGACAUGGUCGGAAUCCUGCUGAGAG